GCGCCCGUAGCUCAGUUGGAUAGAGCGUUGGUCUACGAAACCAAAGGUCGCAUGUUCGAGUCAUGCCGGGCGCACCA
rnacentral:tRNA from 1 species